UCCAAUGAUGACACUUUUUAUUCUUGCUUAGAUUCGUCGGUGAAAGCUGAUUUCUCAUAGACUACAACGGUAUCUGAGC
rnacentral:snoRNA from 1 species